UGGGGAAUUUUGGACAAUGGGGGCAACCCUGAUCCAGCAAUGCCGCGUGAGUGAAGAAGGCCUUCGGGUUGUAAAGCUCUUUUGUCAGGGAAGAAACGGUAGUAGCGAAUAACUAUUACUAAUGACGGUACCUGAAGAAUAAGCACCGGCUAACUACGUGCCAGCAGCCGCGGUAAUACGUAGGGUGCAAGCGUUAAUCGGAAUUACUGGGCGUAAAGCGUGCGCAGGCGGUUGUGUAAGUCAGAUGUGAAAUCCCCGGGCUCAACCUGGGAAUUGCAUUUGAGACUGCACGGCUAGAGUGUGUCAGAGGGGGGUAGAAUUCCACGUGUAGCAGUGAAAUGCGUAGAUAUGUGGAGGAAUACCGAUGGCGAAGGCAGCCCCCUGGGAUAACACUGACGCUCAUGCACGAAAGCGUGGGGAGCAAACAGGAUUAGAUACCCCAGUAGUCCCUGAGCGGGCUGGCAAGGCGCAU
rnacentral:rRNA from 1 species